rnacentral:rRNA from 1 species
UACGUAGGGUGCAAGCGUUGUCCGGAAUUAUUGGGCGUAAAGAGCUCGUAGGCGGUCUGUCGCGUCGGCUGUGAAAACCCGGAGCUCAACUCCGGGCCUGCAGUCGAUACGGGCAAACUGGAGUACUGCAGGGGAGACUGGAAUUCCUGGUGUAGCGGUGAAAUGCGCAGAUAUCAGGAAGAACACCCGUGGCGAAGGCGGCUCUCUGGAACGCAACUGACGCUGAGACGCGAAAGCCGUGGGGAGCAAACAGG